rnacentral:rRNA from 1 species
GAUGAACGCUAGCGAUAGGCUUAACACAUGCAAGUCGAGGGGCAGCAAUUCGUAGCAAUACGAAGUUGGCGACCGGCGCACGGGUGAGUAACGCGUAUGCAACCUACCCGCAACAGAAGGAUAAUCCGGCGAAAGUCGGUCUAAUACUUCAUAAUACAGGGACACCGCAUGGUGAUAUUUGUUAAAGAUUAAUUGGUUGCGGAUGGGCAUGCGUGCCAUUAGGUAGUUGGUGAGGUAACGGCUCACCAAGCCGACGAUGGUUAGGGGUUCUGAGAGGAAAAUCCCCCACACUGGUACUGAGACACGGACCAGACUCCUACGGGAGGCAGCAGUGAGGAAUAUUGGUCAAUGGGCGAGAGCCUGAACCAGCCAAGUCGCGUGAAGGAAGACGGCCCUAUGGGUUGUAAACUUCUUUUGCAGGGGAAUAAAGAUAUUCACGUGGGAUAGUUGUAUGUACCCUGCGAAUAAGCAUCGGCUAA